AUGCCUUAUCCACCCAAGUCAACUAAAAAGAAAGGUGAUGAAGAAUUUGAACGCUUUGCUGAAAUGCUGAGGCCAGUCUUUUUGCGUACUCGCUUGACUGAUAUCUUGAAAAUUCCUCCUUAUACUUUUAAACAUGGAGUGCCGAAAAAACUUAGAGAUCCAGGAAUACCAACUAUACCUUGCUCUAUCAAAAAGAAUUAUGUGAAAACUGCUUUGUGUGACUUAGGAGCUGGUGUUAGUGUUAUGCCUUUCUCUUUAUAUAAAAUACUUGACUUGAAUAAACUCACACCUACUAAAAUAUCUUUGCAAAUGGCUGACAAGUCAACUGCCAUACCUAUCGGUAUCUGUGAGGAUGUGCCCGUUGUUGUUGCUAGUGUUACUAUUUUGACUGACUUUGUUAUACUUGAGAUGCCCGAGGACGACAACAUGCCGAUUAUCCUUGGUAGACCCUUCUUGAAUACUGCAGGGGUUGUUAUUGAUUGCAAUAAUGAAGGUCACUUUUCAUAUUAA
rnacentral:rRNA from 1 species